UACGGGAGGCAGCGGUGGGGAAUAUUGCACAAUGGGCGCAAGCCUGAUGCAGCCAUGCCGCGUGUAUGAAGAAGGCCUUCGGGUUGUAAAGUACUUUCAGUCGUGAGGAAGGUGUUAAGGUUAAUAACCUUAGCAAUUGACGUUAGCGACAGAAGAAGCACCGGCUAACUCCGUGCCAGCAGCCGCGGUAAUACGGAGGGUGCGAGCGUUAAUCGGAAUUACUGGGCGUAAAGGGCACGCAGGCGGUUAAUUAAGUUGGAUGUGAAAUCCCCGGGCUUAACCUGGGAAUGGCAUUCAAGACUGGUUAGCUAGAGUCUUGUAGAGGGGGUAGAAUUCCAUGUGUAGCGGUGAAAUGCGUAGAGAUGUGGAGGAAUACCGGUGGCGAAGGCGGCCCCUGGACAAAGACUGACGCUCAUGUGCGAAAGCGUGGGGAGCAAACAGGGAUUAGAUACC
rnacentral:rRNA from 1 species